UCUUCUUCUGUUAAUCUCUCUUGUGUCAAUUUUAUUAUUAGCUCAGCCACAAGAACUCAAGAAGGAUAGAGGGGGAAGCUUCCUUCUUCCUGACGGUACCCUGGGUAGAAGGAGCAGCUUUAAAUUCUCAGAGAUGUCUGACACAGGUUUCAGCAUCCUUUUGGGAUGUAGAAACCACCAUCUCAAACUGCAGAGUUCUCAGCUCUCCAGCUUCUGGAUGUCAUUCACCAAGGAUCAGUGAGCUGGAUGUUCCAUAGGUGUGAUCCAAAAUUCUUCCCUACCAGCCUUUUCCCUUCCAUCUGGGGAUUAGCCCAGGCCCAUGGGUAAAUCACAUCUUCCUGCCAGUUUUCUGUCUCCUGAGCUCCGCAGCCCGGAGCGUCCUGACCAGACCAAGAUCUGCGCUCGCGCUGCCCCCCGUGGGUGAAAGAACCGACUGUCGUUGGGUGCCGUGGCUGGACGGAGGAUUUCAAGACCGGAUAGAGCAUAUUCCAGAUUACUGGAGCUACUGA
rnacentral:lncRNA from 1 species